UACGAAGGGGGCUAGCGUUGCUCGGAAUCACUGGGCGUAAAGCGCACGUAGGCGGAUUGCUAAGUCAGGUGUGAAAUCCUGGAGCUCAACUCCAGAACUGCCUUUGAUACUGGCGAUCUUGAGUCCGGGAGAGGUGAGUGGAACUGCGAGUGUAGAGGUGAAAUUCGUAGAUAUUCGGAAGAACACCAGUGGCGAAGGCGGCUCACUGGACUGGUAUUGACGCUGAGGCGCGAAAGCGUGGGGAGCAAACAGG
rnacentral:rRNA from 1 species